ACUGACUGAGCGGCGGACGGGUGAGUAACGCGUGGGUGACCUGCCCCAUACCGGGGGAUAACAGCUGGAAACGGCUGCUAAUACCGCAUAAGCGCACAGAGCUGUAUGGCUCGGUGUGAAAAACUCCGGUGGUAUGGGAUGGGCCCGCGUCUGAUUAGGCAGUUGGCGGGGUAACGGCCCACCAAACCGACGAUCAGUAGCCGGCCUGAGAGGGCGACCGGCCACAUUGGGACUGAGACACGGCCCAAACUCCUACGGGAGGCAGCAGUGGGGAAUAUUGCACAAUGGGGGAAACCCUGAUGCAGCGACGCCGCGUGAGCGAAGAAGUAUUUCGGUAUGUAAAGCUCUAUCAGCAGGGAAGAUAAUGACGGUACCUGACUAAGAAGCCCCGGCUAACUACGUGCCAGCAGCCGCGGUAAUACGUAGGGGGCAAGCGUUAUCCGGAUUUACUGGGUGUAAAGGGAGCGUAGACGGCAAGGCAAGUCUGAUGUGAAAACCCAGGGCUUAACCCUGGGACUGCAUUGGAAACUGUCUGGCUCGAGUGCCGGAGAGGUAAGCGGAAUUCCUAGUGUAGCGGUGAAAUGCGUAGAUAUUAGGAAGAACACCAGUGGCGAAGGCGG
rnacentral:rRNA from 1 species